ensembl:lncRNA
UAAUCCACGCACACAAACACAGAGAUUAUAAAACCAGUCACAAGCAUCAGGAAGUCAUUUAUUUCAAACCUUCAACUUUCCAGCAGAGCAGAUUAACAGCCAAAAAAAAAAAGAAGGAAAAACCCAUGGAGCAGGAGUUCAAUCUUCAAUAACACACAGUCCCAAAAAUGUGCCUUUCCAAGUGGAAAAGUCGCUUAUUAAACUUUAAAAUAAAACAUUUUCCUCAGUCUAAAUUUCACAUCCUAUAAAAAUCCUGUAAAAACUCCCCUCGUCCUUCAGAAGGCGUGCGCUGAUAAUCGUUCAUACGAUACGUCGCAAUAUAAAGCGCAACACUGUUCACAUGCUUUAAAAUAGUGUUCUUGUAUCGAUCACCCGGGUCACGGCACCGGAGUUUCUUCGAACGUGACCGUUUUCGUCCGUUUCUUAACAACAUGCUCACGAUAACGUGCGAGACGGUCAUCUGACGUGGGUCCGGGCCACAUUUUAACCGUAAGCAAACAUCUGUAGUGUCUCGUUAACGCUCGCCAGGAUUAUAAAACGACAUAUUUACAGACGCUUCAUUAAACAGUAUUUACAAAUAUUCUGUAUUUAACAAGCCGCAUCGCACAUGUUCACGGUAGAGAGUCUCCGCGUCUCAUUUUUCUCGCUGUGUGGAUGGAGCCAGGAAUGACUGACGGGUUAAAUGUGGCGACCAAUGGAAAUCGAGAAGAGGCGGAGCUUAACACUAGGUGAUGCGUUACUGCUGGCUAGCCAAAUCGUUUCUGGAGAAUUUUUAAUGUGCGAGUCUAGCUGAAAAGAAAAUUCGACACGGUGCUCAAUAUCGUGAUAUAUCGUACAACCGAUUAUCGGCGCAUGCCUUUAUCUUCACACGUAUUCAAAGAAAUAAAGUUUGAUUUAACGUUAAACAACCCUCAUCGACUCGUAGUGUGUGUGCAAAGUCAUCGUCUUUUUAAACAAAUGAACCGCGAUGCAUUUCUCCAGUAACCAAAAGUCCUUGAGAACGUUGUGCUGUCGAGUUCCAUAGGCUUCACUUUUGCUUCACAGUUUAUUAUUAUUAUUAUUAUUUUUUACUUAUGGAAGGUAGUACAGGCGUGUCGCCAAAGAAUGUGCAUUUUCAAGUCAAAAGUGACGGAUUUCCCAGAAACCUUUCGGUGCGAGAGGUCAGCGUGUGUUCACGCCUCCUGUUUGGUAACUGACGAGAUCCUCUCUGUAAGCGAUCCGAGACGCUCUUCGUUUGUUUAUCCGUUUGAUUAUUAGAAGCGCAGACAUGGCACGCACACUCGCCCGCUCGCUCGGUAACGUCGUCUGGAAACGUGAACACCUGCGAAGAGGGGCGGAGAGAAAACGUGAGCUCAUUUGAAUGCAGACAAAGAACGGACUUGUCCUGAGAGCUGAAACUGGGUUUCAUCAAACGGCGCUGGAAAUCCUCUCUGGUGUCAUUUUCACACGUAUUAAGAGCUUAAACAGCUGGCACGCGCGUUACACGCCAACGUUACACCCCAACUAUUUACUGAAAAAUAAUUAUAGUAUUCAAAAUGAGGAAACGAGCAGAAACUGACAGUACUACUCUUUUUUUUUUAUUGUAUUAGUUAUUUAAAAAGAAAUGAAUAAUAUUUUUCAUAGUCCCCCCCCCCAGUGAUUCAGUGAUGGAUCAUAUAACCCUGAAAUCAUCUAAUUUUUGAACAUCAUAUACAACCCCAAUUCCAAAAAAGUUGGGACACUGUAAAAUUAGUGCCUAUGGAAUGGACAGCUUGCACAUCUGGAAAGGCAUCAGUUGAAUAACAACUUUUUUUGGACUAAAAUAAUGACGAUUCGCUUUUCUGAGACAUCACUGACAUUAUUAUUAUUAUUAUUAUUAUUAAAAAAAACAAUUACAAUCUGCCCAUUAGAGACUGGUAAAAAGUG